AUUGAACGCUGGCGGAAUGCUUUACACAUGCAAGUCGAACGGCAGCACGGACUUCGGUCUGGUGGCGAGUGGCGAACGGGUGAGUAACAUAUCGGAACGUAUCCAAUAAUGGGGGAUAACUAAUCGAAAGGUUGGCUAAUACCGCAUACGCCCUACGGGGGAAAGCAGGGGAUCUUCGGACCUUGCGUUAAUGGAGCGGCUGAUAUCUGAUUAGCUAGUUGGUGAGGUAAAGGCUCACCAAGGCGACGAUCAGUAGCUGGUCUGAGAGGACGACCAGCCAAACUGGAACUGAGACACGGUCCAGACUCCUACGGGAGGCAGCAGUGGGGAAUUUUGGACAAUGGGCGCAAGCCUGAUCCAGCCAUUCCGCGUGAGUGAAGAAGGCCUUCGGGUUGUAAAGCUCUUUCGCAAGGAAAGAAAACUUACUUUCUAAUAAAGAGUGAGGUUGACGGUACCUUGAUAAGAAGCACCGGUUAACUCCGUGCCAGCAGCCGCCGUAA
rnacentral:rRNA from 1 species